CUAAUUACUAGCAUUGUUGUAGUCGAGGUGACUUAAGCUCAGUCCAAAAGUGCCUAGUAAUUGCUCAGUUAAAGCUUAAAACAUACAUACAUGCAAGCAUAUAUAGUUAUUAAAUUGGAAAUUCUAAAGGUUUAUAUCAACGUUUUUAUAUGUACAUAAAUAUACCUAUUAUAAAAGCUUCUGUAUGCAAGACUUGCGGACGCACCAGAUAUUGUAAUGCCGUUAUCUAAUUACUUAUUGAAUAGCACAACAAAAGAUAAACAAAACAUUAGUGAAAGUCUUUGUUAUAAAUAUGUAUGUAUUUGUAGUUACAGUGUUUCCCGCUUAUAACCUCUAAAAUAUUUAAAGAAAAUUUCCCCUUUUUAGGUAAGAUAUAUAGAUAAAUUAAAGAGGCAUACACCGCGACCUAGUGGGUCUAUUGUGCCCUCAACUCAUCACAACACAUCUCUAAUUUCCAAAGAUUCCAGGAAACUAAUUAAAAUCAGAUUCGCAGCUUAGUAGUCGUCGUCUUAAUUUGCAGUGUCCAGUGAGGGGAGGUUAGUUAAAAGUUUGUAUAUUUUUAAAUUGUACCCAAAAGCAGAGAAAAAUUUGUCAUCUUCUUUUUUAAUUGUAAAAUUAUCUUAUGAACCAGUUGUACAGGUUAGCUGCUCAUCUGAACGUUUUUUCCAAAACUCGCUACAUCAAAAACAACAACAUUGAAAUUGCAAACAAUUGUAAUUUUUUAAAACAUACAUUGCUCAUAACGGUUUCAAUAUAUCCAAAAGCUAUCAGGUAAAUAGUUCUGAAAAAACAAGGGUUGUCUACAUAUUUUAAGACAACGAUAUAAGCAUGGGCGUAGCCAGGUAGGGGUGGGAGGGGCUCGACUCACAAGUUUUCCCUACGAAUAUAAAAAAAUAUUUUAUUUGAAGACGCUAAGUCGUCCUUAUUUUUUGUACCAGACUCAAAUUUUAAUUUCUUUGAAAUUGUAUCGGUUUUCUAGGGCAAAUCAAAGAUUAAUAUGCAUCAGUUGAGGAAAACCCGUAUGUCGAUUCUCAAGUUUUUUGAAUCAAUUUACGAAUCGAUGUUCAUUAUUGAUUUGUUCAAGUUUUUUGAAUCGAUUCACGAAUUGAAACUAAAAAUCGGCAAAAAGUCGUAACGGACGGGCUCGAUUAAUCGAUUUUCGAUGUAAUGGAUUUAAAAAUAUUCAACGGGUUUGCAUUUCCCUGGAAAUAAUUCUGACUUGGGUCUUUCCUCAAAGCAAGCAUGUGAAUCUAUUCAUCAGAAGCUUUGGGGCACUUGGGAAAGUUUUAAUGGCGUUUUCGUUUCUACAAAAAAAUGUUACCUUCUCUUUGCCUGUACGCACAAAUACUAAGAAGACGGAAAUGAGAAGGCAACAUUUUUUGUAGAAACGAAAGCGCCAUAAGAUUAAUUACAUGAAUCGUCGGUCUUACUUAAAAAGUGUAGAAUAUUGUUACACAAUUUUCAUCACUGGAUAUUUAAAUAAUUAAAUUAAUGUUGAUAUCUAAUGAUAUCUCAAUUUGUUCCUAUUUUAAAUGAAAAUGUAUUAUUUGGCAGUAGUCGUUCGUGACGGUUCAGUUACACAUAGACCAAUCGGAAACCACAUCUCGUGCAUUUUAGAUGAUGCAUAUAUCCGGGAAAUACUGUACUAACUUCAUUCCAUUGAGCCUAGUGCCUUCGCUGUCGAUUGGCGCGAGAUAACGACUGAGGAAUUUAUAUCGCGUCUCGCCUUAGAGCGCGGUUAUCCACGAACGUAUACGUAGCGUAGCGUAGAAGUACGGAGAAAGAUAACAAGUGUGCUGUUGAUAGAAAGAGAGGUGGUGAUUUUUUGUUAACACGCAGAUCCCAAAAGAUAGAUCGUGUCAGCUGACGCGCUCUCCGUUUUUACGUUCGUGGGUUACUGCGCGUCCCUAGCCACCCAAAUUUGUUAACAUCGAAAAUUUUUUACGUGCACAAAGCUUCUUUUUUUUUUGUUAAGAAUGUGUAUUGGUAGCUCUAGUAAACGCACCGUUCAAAAACGUGUAAUGGUCAUUAUGGUGACACUGAAACAUGAUCCCAUCCGACAAAAAAAAAAAAACUGUAAGCCUGUUCGAACUUGGAUAUAUGUAUCCGAACAUUGAGGGCAAUGAAGGAACUGACAAAUAGGCGAAGGUGAAUGAAUCCGGAGCAAUGGAAUUGGGGUUGUUCUCUAGGGAUUAGUAUAGAAACAGAAAUAAAAUUCCAAUUCCUUUGAUUGGUUAGAAAUCGUAGGACGAAAUCUCGAUUCUAGUUCAUAGACUUAUAAAAAAUUAUACUAAACUGAUCAGAGCAACGAGCUGAGUAUCUUAAUUUUAGAGAUAUCCGACUAAAAGUUAUAAACAAAAACACUGCCCGAAUGUAUGUGGACCACAAAUCGAGCCUGGGUUCUACCAAUUGGUAGAGCGGACCUUUAACCACUCGGCAAAGCAGGCCGUGCAUAUCUUAUUAUGACUUAUUAAAGAAAAGUAAAAAAAUGUUAAUUCCAAUUCUAAUCCGUUUCUGAACUCGCCGCAAUCAAUUACCAAAUAACUUACUUUUCCUCUAGUGAAUUCAUUUGCUAGGUCUGGAAAAGUUUGAAUGUAAUUACAAAAUACUCGUAUGAAAGGAGCAUAAAUAACUGUCCAGUAUAUUGCUGGGAGAAUUUCGAAGAUAUGUCUCUUCUGCAUAAGAGCUUCAGUUUCUCCAACCCCAUUCUUAUAAAUUUUUUUUUUACUGUAUUAAGUCUUGUUGUUUAUUUCUCGCAGGGUGUGUAUUAUCUUUAUUUUAAAUAUAAUAAAAAAAACGUAUUAAAUCCACACUUUUUACUGGCUUC